UACGGAGGAUCCAAGCGUUAUCCGGAAUCAUUGGGUUUAAAGGGUCCGUAGGUGGGCCGUUAAGUCAGAGGUGCAAUCCUGCAGCUCAACUGUAGAAUUGCCUUUGAUACUGGCGGCCUUGAAUUACUGUGAAGUGGUUAGAAUAUGUGGUGUAGAGGUGAAAGGCAUAGAUAUCAGAUAGAAUAACGAUUGCGAAGGCAGAUCACUAACAGUACAUUGACACUGAUGGGCGAAAGCGUGGGGAGCGAACAGG
rnacentral:rRNA from 1 species